CAAAUGCAAGGCAGGCAGGAGUUACCUGGUUGAUGGAAAUGACCGCCAGCCGGGGUAUGACCACUUGGAGGAUGACCUGCAGCAGCGAGGUGCCCAGGCCGGCCAGGAUGGCCCAGGUGAGCGGCAGCGGCAGCAUACUGUAGGUGGCGAAGAGCGUGAAGAGCACGUAGCCUAUGCCGUCGCCCAGGAGCCCGUAGCCGAGGCCUGCUGCCAGGAUCUGGGUGGUCAUGGCCACCCAGGUGACCACGCCGCUGUACUGCAGACUUAUAAAAGAAGUAGAACACACAUGCUUCCCAUUAGGUGAGAAAGAAACAUGCCUGAGAGUCUAAUGGAUUACUCAAGUCUGUGCUGCCAAGGAAG
rnacentral:lncRNA from 1 species